rnacentral:rRNA from 1 species
UACGGAGGGUGCAAGCGUUAUCCGGAUUCACUGGGCGUAAAGGGUGCGUAGGCGGUCGGGUAAGUCUAACGUGAAAUCUCCGAGCCUAACUCGGAAACUGCGUCGGAUACUAUUCGGCUAGAGGAAUGGAGGGGAGACUGGAAUUCUCGGUGUAGCAGUGAAAUGCGUAGAUAUCGAGAGGAACACCAGUGGCGAAGGCGAGUCUCUGGACAUUUCCUGACGCUGAGGCACGAAAGCCAGGGGAGCAAACGGG